AUGGAUCUGCUUCCUGCCAGGGCCCGUGCCAGGAGCAGCGAUGAGCAAAACAACAGCUGCUUUCCGGGCAGUCCCUGCAGAGCCCUGUGUGCUUCCCGAGGGCAGUGGGGCUGGGCUGGCUCAUGGGGUGAGGCUGGGGGCCAGACAGCCCUCGGCCUGCUGCAGGUGCUGCCAGAGCAGGAGACAGUGAGUGACAGGCCUUGGCUCCAGCCCUGUGUGCCUGGGAUGGGGGUUUGGGUGUGCAAAUCCUGGACCCCACCUUGUGGCUCUCAGCAGUUGCAGGGAUGUUCCUGCUGUCAGAUCUGGCUGUCCCCAAAGUGCCAGCAGGUCUGGAGAUGCCCCAGAACAUCUGCCCUAGGAGGGGUCGGGUCCAUCCAUCCUGGAGCCGUGGGCAGGGAUGGGACCCCUGCAUUUGCUGGGGCAGGAAUGCACAUCCCGAGAUCCCCAGUCCCACUGCGGCAGAGCUGCCAGGGGGCAUGUCCGGGAUUUUGGGGGGAGGUGGAGCCAGAGGACACUUGGACCAGAGCAACCAGAGGUGUUCGCGGGGUUCCCAAGGAGCUGUAUCCCCGGGUGGGCUCCGGGAGCGGCGGGACGGACUUCGGGAUCCCGGCAACCUCGGCCGCAGCUGCCGGGGAGCGGCGGGGCCGGGAGCGGUGUCCGAGGGCUCCGUGGGGAGCAGUGCCCAGCGUGUGUGCGGAUCUCCCCCAAAGCAGAACCGCCUGCCGUACCCAAACCCGGCGUCUCCCGCACUCCCGGGGGCACCGAGCCCUCGGCUCCCUCGGUGUCCCACCCCAGCUCCGCUGGCACCGGCUGGGCUCUGCCUCUCACGGUGUCCCAUGUCCCUCAGGCUGCCUUCGGGCACCCCAAAUCCCCGGGCCGUGCCCAGCCGGUGCCCUCCGUUCCCCCGGGGUUGUCACAGACGGCGGCUGCCGCAGCCCCCGGAGAAUCAGCCCCGUCUCUCCCCUUCUCACGGAGCUCUCCUCGGGAGGUGCCCGGGCAGGAGGGGCAGGACGGCAUCGGUCAGGGCAGGGAGCGGCAGGUGCGAGUCUGCACAGGUACCUGGGGCGGCCUGAGCCGGGACCUUGCUCCUCCUGGCCCGUGUCCCAUCGGUGCCCGGGACCACCGACCUGCUCUCCCAGCUCCCGUGGGGCAGAACCCCGGGGAUCGGCAGCCGAACGCCGGUGGAGGGGGGACAGCGGGGUCCGGGGUCGAUGGGAGCUGCUCGGCACGUGUCUGAACAAGGAUUCCCCGGGGAGAGGGAAUGUACGUGCAGGAGCCGGGCCAAAAGCAGACGCAGGGCUCUGGCAGUCCCGGCUGAGCUGA
rnacentral:lncRNA from 1 species